AGCCGGGUCGUUCAAUGGCAGGACGGGGGAAUACGAAUCCCCAAACGAAGGUUCGACUCCUUCCCUGGCUU
rnacentral:tRNA from 1 species